ACUUAGAUAGUUUAAAUUAAAAUAAUGAUUUGUGGUGUCAUUGAUAUAUAAUAUAUUCUAAGUU